CCUACGGGAGGCAGCAGUGGGGAAUAUUGGACAAUGGGCGAAAGCCUGAUCCAGCCAUGCCGCGUGUGUGAAGAAGGCCUUCGGGUUGUAAAGCACUUUCAGUGGGGAAGAAAGCCUUGGGGCUAAUACCCUCGAGGAAGGACAUCACCCACAGAAGAAGCACCGGCUAACUCCGUGCCAGCAGCCGCGGUAAUACGGAGGGUGCGAGCGUUAAUCGGAAUUACUGGGCGUAAAGCGCGCGUAGGCGGUCUGAUAAGCCGGUUGUGAAAGCCCCGGGCUCAACCUGGGAACGGCAUCCGGAACUGUCAGGCUAGAGUGCAGGAGAGGAAGGUAGAAGUCCCGGUGUAGCGGUGAAAUGCGUAGAGAUCGGGAGGAAUACCAGUGGCGAAGGCGGCCUUCUGGACUGACACUGACGCUGAGGUGCGAAAGCGUGGGUAGCAAACAGGAUUAGAUACCCCGGUAGUC
rnacentral:rRNA from 1 species